UAGGGAAUCUUCCGCAAUGGGCGAAAGCCUGACGGAGCAACGCCGUGUGAGUGAUGAAGGUCUUCGGAUCGUAAAACUCUGUUAUUAGGGAAGAACAAAUGUGUAAGUAACUAUGCACGUCUUGACGGUACCUAAUCAGAAAGCCACGGCUAACUACGUGCCAGCAGCCGCGGUAAUACGUAGGUGGCAAGCGUUAUCCGGAAUUAUUGGGCGUAAAGCGCGCGUAGGCGGUUUUUUAAGUCUGAUGUGAAAGCCCACGGCUCAACCGUGGAGGGUCAUUGGAAACUGGAAAACUUGAGUGCAGAAGAGGAAAGUGGAAUUCCAUGUGUAGCAGUGAAAUGCGCAGAGAUAUGGAGGAACACCAGUGGCGAAGGCGACUUUCUGGUCUGUAACUGACGCUGAUGUGCGAAAGCGUGGGGAUCAAACAGG
rnacentral:rRNA from 1 species